CCGGGAUCCCUUUGGAGAGGCCCUCGGGAGCUGGCGGCGGGGCUGGGAGUGGCGUGGCUCUUCUUAAUUCCCCUUCUUUCUACCUGUUGGUAAGGAUGCUGGUGUGAGUGGGGAGCAGGUGGUCUUCUGAGACCUGAAGGUAUUUCUUCUCUCCUGCCCUCGGGGAUGGGGUGCUACAGUGAUGUUCACAGGUCAGGUGGAACGUGAGGCGUAUUUUGGAAAACAAU